rnacentral:rRNA from 1 species
GAUGAACGCUGGCGGCGUGCCUAAUACAUGCAAGUCGAGCGAACAGACGAGGAGCUUGCUCCUCUGACGUUAGCGGCGGACGGGUGAGUAACACGUGGAUAACCUACCUAUAAGACUGGGAUAACUUCGGGAAACCGGAGCUAAUACCGGAUAAUAUAUUGAACCGCAUGGUUCAAUAGUGAAAGACGGUUUUGCUGUCACUUAUAGAUGGAUCCGCGCCGCAUUAGCUAGUUGGUAAGGUAACGGCUUACCAAGGCGACGAUGCGUAGCCGACCUGAGAGGGUGAUCGGCCACACGGGAACUGAGACACGGUCCAGACUCCUACGGGAGGCAGCAGUAGGGAAUCUUCCGCAAUGGGCGAAAGCCUGACGGAGCAACGCCGCGUGAGUGAUGAAGGUCUUCGGAGCGUAAAACUCUGUUAUUAGGGAAGAACAAAUGUGUAAGUAACUAUGCACGUCUUGACGGUACCUAAUCAGAAAGCCACGGCUAACUACGUG